rnacentral:misc_RNA from 1 species
UUUCUAUGACAAUAUCAAUGUGAUCGCAUGAUCUCUUGUGCAAGUUAACCAGUGCUAAUUAAAACAUGUAUCCACUUCGAGUCUUACUUAAGUACUUACAAGACGUAAGUGGAGUGUUAAGAAUAUUACGCAUGUUGAUGAUUAAAAUUUGAUUAACCCAAGAGAUAGAAUUUUUUAUACAUGAUUGUAAAUAUUAACAUACACUUGUCAAAUUAAAAUAAUUUUCAGCCGGUACCAAAUAAAAUUUUCGGUAAAUGAAUUAAUUAACAAAAGAUAAUCCAAUUGUGCAUUUAAUCAUGGAAUGGACAAGGAUUUCACAAAUUCUUUGUAUGUUUGGUUUUCUUAAAGAAUUCAGACCAAGUGAGCCAUUUAUAUAUAAUUAUCUAACAAGUCAUGGAAAAAAUUUUACUGAUAAACAGGUGAACCAAGAAAUAUAUCCAAUUGCUACUUACAGUAAUUUUGCAACUUUAGUAGUAGUUUUUCUGUUGACUGAUUUUUUGAGAUAUAAACCGGUUAUUAUAUUAUGUGGUAUCUCAGGAAUUGCUGCAUACAUCAUUUUGAUUGUUGGAAACUCUAUUCCGAUUAUUCAAGUAGUAGAAUUUUUAUAUGGUUUAUAUUUUUCUACAGAAGUUGCUUACUAUACUUAUAUUUAUGCCAAAGUUGACAAAGAACAUUAUCAAAUUGUAUCAAGUUAUAUCAGAUCAGCUUUAUUAUUUGGAAGAUUUAUCACUGGUGUUGUAGCUCAAUUAACUAUUUCAUUUAGUAUCUUGAACUAUCAUGAGCUUAAUUAUCUCACAUUGCUAGGACAAGUGCUAGCUACAUUGUGGGCCGUCUUCCUUCCAUCAGUAAAACAAUCAGUAUAUUUUCACCGUCCUGAAGAUUCACCUGAUAAGGACGAUUGCAUAACUAAUUCAAGAGUGACAACUGAAGGCUUAUACCCUAAUCAAUCUUUUAUUCAAAAAACUAAACGAGCUUACUAUUUACUAUGGAAAGAUUUUAUAAAAGCUUAUACAAAUAUUCAUGUAUUGAAAUGGUCAUUUUGGUGGGCAGCAGCAAGUUGUGGAUAUUUACAAGUACUUAGUUACGCUCAAAUAAUUUGGGAGACAUGUGUUAAAACAGAUGACAUAAUUUAUAAUGGAGCAGUAGAGGCGUUUUAUACAAUAAUUGGUGGUCUCACGGUAUUUGGAGUUGGAAAACUACAAUUAAACUGGGAGUUACUUGGCGAAAUAAUUCUAUCAUUUUUCUCCAUCAUAGAAGCUAUUUUAUUAUUUUUUAUGACAAAAACCUAUAAUAUUUGGUUACAAUACACAUUAUAUAUAAUAUUUGGUGUCAUCUAUCAUACCAUUGUGACAAUCGCCAGUUUCGAAGUGGCAAAAAACAUAUCUGAAGAUAGUUUUGGCCUCAUCUUUGGGAUAAAUGUAUUUUUAGGAUUAACCUUCCAAAGUAUUUUAACAUUUAUAGUUAUCGGUGGAAAUCAUUUUUUACUAGAUAUCAGAGGCCAGUUUACAGUCUAUUCUGCAUAUUUUGGAGUACUUGGUGCCAUAUUUGGAGUCAUAGCAGUUUUUACAAUAACUUCAUUGUGUAGAAGACAAGAGAAGCUUACAAUAUGGACUGAAGUUAAAGAUGAUCGAAACAGUCAUUGAUGCUCAUCUAAUAGGCUGAAUUAAAUAAAUAUGGAAUUAAUUAUUAUAGUAUUUAUUAUUUGUAUUUUUAGUAUUUUCAUUACAGUAUUGUGAUUGUGAUAUGGAAAUAAUAUCUUUUUUUUGUUUCAUAGUUUAUUAUAGUUAUAAUAUUUGUUGAUAAAAUUAAUGGAUUUAUGUUACUUUUUAAAAGUAUAUUUUUUAUUAAAUUUUUAUAUAGUUCUAAAUCUAAAAGAUUCAGGAAUAAAGGGGAAAUAAUUUUAAACGUGAUUUUUCAUUAUUUUAUCCUUUUACAUUGUCACAUUAAUUUGAUAAAUUAAUCGCAAAGAGAAAGAUUUCCAUUGAAACAAUCAAGAAUUGUUAUUUAAUCGAUUUGUUGCUGUAAAGUAGUUAAAAAAAACAAUAAUGAUAAUUAUGACCUUGUCUCUAAAAUGAAUAUUUUUCUAACAUUAAAAUUUCCAAAUGCAUUAAAGUGUCUAGUCACGAAUGUGAAUAUUAUCCAAUGGAACAUCAAAAUAUGUCAGGAGUCUUCUGUUUUCUCCGGAUAUUUUGCAGUAUUUAAUAUGUUUAUUAUAAGCCCAUUCUCUAUAAUAACAAUGUUAUGUAAAACAAAAAGAAAGGAAAAGCCAGUAUCGGAGAUAAAAAAUCAUGGGAGCAAUUAUUUCCACUCAAAAAAUCAUAAAAGAGGUUGUUAUUUCCAAGAUUAUAUUCAAUAAAUUAUUCACAUACGAAAAAAUAAAAUUAAUUUGUCUCUAAUGGAGA